rnacentral:rRNA from 1 species
UGGGGAAUUUUGGACAAUGGGCGCAAGCCUGAUCCAGCAAUGCCGCGUGUGUGAAGAAGGCCUUCGGGUUGUAAAGCACUUUUGGCGGGAACGAAACGGCGCGGGCCAAUACCCUGCGCUAAUGACGGUACCCGCAGAAUAAGCACCGGCUAACUACGUGCCAGCAGCCGCGGUAAUACGUAGGGUGCAAGCGUUAAUCGGAAUUACUGGGCGUAAAGCGUGCGCAGGCGGUUGUGUAAGACAGAUGUGAAAUGCCCGGGCUCAACCUGGGGACUGCAUUUGUGACUGCACGGCUGGAGUGUGUCAGAGGGGGGUAGAAUUCCACGUGUAGCAGUGAAAUGCGUAGAUAUGUGGAGGAACACCGAUGGCGAAGGCAGCCCCCUGGGAUAACACUGACGCUCAUGCACGAAAGCGUGGGGAGCAAACAGG